rnacentral:lncRNA from 1 species
UUAUGUAAAAUGGUGGAUAAAGAAAAACAAAAUACUGUCGAAUAUGUACACAAAUCUUGAGACUAUAUUGGAAAAUAAAAGGCUUUGUUAUGCAACAUCAAAAAUACAAGGUUAUCUCGUCGAAAAUCUGAAUAAAGAAAUACGAUGCAAUGAAUUUGACUAUGAAAUAAA